rnacentral:rRNA from 1 species
UACAGAGGGUGCAAACGUUGUUCGGAAUUACUGGGCGUAAAGCGCGUGUAGGCGGCUAUGCAAGUCGGGCGUGAAAUCCCACGGCUCAACCGUGGAAGUGCACUCGAAACUGCGUAGCUAGAGUCCCGGAGAGGAAGGUGGAAUACUUGGUGUAGAGGUGAAAUUCGUAGAUAUCAAGUGGAACACCGGUGGCGAAGGCGGCCUUCUGGACGGUGACUGACGCUGAGACGCGAAAGCGUGGGGAGCAAACAGG